UGCAAAUCUUUGUAUUUUGUGAAAAAAUUUAAUAAAAUCACGAUGACUUAGUGCAAAAGUUCGAGUCUGUAAGAUGUACACUUUAAUAGUAAUUAAUGAAUAGAUUGAUGAUAACAAUUCCUUUCCUCAAAUCAAACCAUCUCUCCUGGCACCUGAAUCCUAAAGUUAAUAUUUAUUCUUCAAGGUGCUUGUUUACCCCCUUCCCCCUUUUUUCCCCUCCUUCUCUUCUCGAGGUCCCAGCCUGGUAGCAAAUCAGAAGGCAUAGCCAACAUUUUAGUCAUGCUCAUUAGUGGCAGGAAUGGUGCUAUCCAAUCAAUGGGCUCUUUCAGACUGAGUAGGACUUUGGCAGUUGUGAGUUUAGUCUCCUUCCCUUUGUUCCUUAGGCCUCUCAUGUGGUCUCUAGUGUUUUUUGCCCAAUGUCUCGGCUGGAAUUCCUACCUUCUCAAAUUGCCUGUGGUCUUAAUGUUGCAUCUUGGUCCAAGAAUAUCCAGUAGAUCAGGAAGCGGAGCACUAACUGAAUAGAAUACUGAAGUGGUUUGGCCUUUGGAGAAUAUCGUGAGUCAUGCUUAAGAACAUGCCUAAAAUAUGUGUCAAGACUGGCAAAAGAACAGCUGAAUUUCAGAAUUAAAAUAGCAGUCACAGCUGUCAGUGGAGAUCAGCCAUAGGUAAAAUUACAAGAAUUCAGCACCCCUCAAAGCAAGUGUAAGUGGGUGCUCUCUCCCAUACCUCAGGCAUCUCAAAGACAUCACUCUUUAAUCUCCUAGUCUCUAGUCUUUCUCAAAGUCUACUUACUGCUUUCCCUUCCUUUUGGUGGGCCUUGAACCAGCACAUAAUAAGUGAUAUGGCCAAUUUGAAACUUGUCCCCGUGCUAGUGACUGAUCACCUGACAGGUGUUCCUGGAUGUUGCCCCUAAAUUGGACUCUUCAUCUAAGGCCCGUGCACACCCCACCUGCUCUAGUAGCUUAGUGUCUAUGGCACAGUGCUCCUAGGUCCUCCCCACCCCAGCCAAAUAGCCCCUUCCUCUUUACAUCUACCUCCAGCUAAAUGCUACUGCCACAUCUAGUCUUGUCAUUUUACCAAAUCAUUGAAUUUUAUCAGUCCAGAAAUUAUCUGAGGAGAACUCUCAAAGAAGGGGACUUGUAGGCAGAAAUGAAAGGUAAUGUAGAUGGUGGGCUGCGUUUCUAUCAAUGAUAAAGUUCAAAGACAGAUGGAAAUUGGGAGAGAAUGACACAGAAAAGGAGAAAGGACUUCAGAGAAUAGGAAAAAUAGAGUAAGAAAAUGCUAUGUACAUGUACAUUGCAUUUUGGGUGACAUGAACUUAUCAAGAAUAAUGAAUAUAGUGAAAUUCCUACACAUGGUAUAAGAAUUUUUGUCUUUUCUUUAUUAAAAUGCAAUAUAUAUAUUCUUCAUUAUGUGUGUGUAUAUGUAUGUGUUAUGUGUAGGUAUGUUGUGUGUGUGUAUUGUCUUGUGUUGCUUAAUGAAGGGGAUAUGGUCUGAGAAAUGCAUCAUUAUCUGAUUUUGUCAUUGUGUGAACAUCCAUAGAGUGUACUUACACAAACCUAGAUGGUAUAGCCUACUACACACCUAGGCUAUAUAGUAUUAAUCUUAUGAGACCACCGUAGUAUGUGUGGUCUGUUGUUGACGAAAACGUCAUUAUGCGGCACGUGACUGCAUAUAUACAAGAGAGCAUAUCUUAGCAGUGUUUUGCCCACAGCCAACAAUCAGAUGCCUCCAUGCAGAGGCAGGAAUGAGGAGGCAGCCUUAGUGGAGAAGUGGUCCUAGUGGGCUGCCUGAGUCUGCGGGAAACCCCAAGUCCUGAUCUAUUAUAAUUACCAAAAAUCAAACUGUGCCCAACAAUUAAGCUUCCUGGAAUGAUUUGUGUUGUCAGGCAGGCUCAUCAUGAGAGGUUUUAGAAGAUGAAAUGAGCAGUUUUUAACAUAUACUGUGUUGUGGAUAGAAAAGUUGGAUGGAUGCAGCACAAGAGGGUAAGAUUUGUUUGAAUUGUAAAUUGGAGAAGAGCAAUUUGGAAAGAGUGAGGUGCCUGAGAGGCUAAGGUAGCCGUGAAGAAGUAUCUUCAUCUCUGUGAAUCUUCAUUUUGUUAGCUGUAAAAUAAUGUUUGAAGUAUCUCCGACCUUCCUUCCAACUCUCACAUCCUAUUAGCGAGAGCUUUAAUUUGAAACAAGUUAGGAAGGACCAAUGUAAGCUUUAAGACUUAGUAAUGUGAUUAAAAUGACAUUUGAGAAAGAUUCUCAAUGUCAGAUGAGUGGGAGUACAGGAAUAGGUUAGUGAUGGAGAAACUGGCCAAACAACUGCAACUGAUGUGUGGCCUGAGACAAGGAAGAAAGAUAAAAGGACCAGAUCUGAUAAAUAUUGCAGAAGGAGAGCCAAAAGGAUUUAUAAAAUCUGAACAUGACUCAUGAAUAAGGCUGUGGAAGAGAGAGGUGACAGAUGCCACUGGUUGUGAUGUCAGAAAGUAGGGAGAGCAGGCUGGUGGCAGCUUUAAGGGGAUGCUGUGAAUGAGAGGAAGAAGAGGGAAGUCAGGGUCUGAGGCAUUUUGCCAUGAAUGAGGAAAGAGAAGGUGUAGUAGUUGGAAGGGCAGAGUGGAGCCAGUGGUAGACUUUGAACAUAAUGGAAAUGUGAAGAAUUCAACUGGGGGGAAAGAAAGUCUCUCAAAGUGCCUCACUGUUGUGGUUUCAAUUGUUUUUCUCAUUUCUGACCCACUGCCUUGCCUUGACCCCUUGUAUCUGUGUAUUCCAGGUUGCUGACUGGUCACUAACCCGUAGUUUUCUCACAAUGCUCUCAUGUUCUCCACUGUCCUCAUGCCUCAUUGCUCCCCAUGGCGUCAGCCCAGCCCUGACCAGUCAAAGAGCUUGGGAAGGGUCUGGAGAUGAUGGUAAGAGGCCCAAAGAAUAAGGCCCUGCUAUGGAGUCUGGCUGCAGAUCCAGAAGCUGGAGGCUGCUGCCGAUGGAGAGAGCUGCAGCCUUGCAGUGGGAGCAACUCCCUAGGUGGGGUUGUCUGUGGAUGGUGAGCAAAGGGGCGAAAGUUCAAAGGGUGGAGCAGAAGCCAGUGCGUCCUGGAGCAGGGGCAGGGUGGCUGCAGUAAUUGUGUUAGGUCUCCAGUUCCGGUUUAUGAAUUAAGAGGUGAAAUGGAGAGGCACUCUACAAUGUUCCCUCUGCCGUACAGCCUCCCAGUUGGUCUCUCCCACUCUACACUCUCCCUCUCCGUCUAUCACACAUACUGCUGACUGACUCAUUUUAAAAUACAUCUUUAUGUCACAGCCCUGCUCAGAACUUCCAAUAUUCUACUCCUAAGUCUAAAUUCCUUAAGCUGAAUUUAAGGUUCUUAAUGAUUUUACUCUCCCCUAUCAAUUCAGGUUCCACCAGGUGUGUGCCACUAUCUACCACCUGCUCAUCCAGCUGAAAGCCUUGCACUCCUGUGCCUCUGGUUUGGGAGCCCUUUCCUCUCACAGAUCUGUCACCUACUCAUCCACAAGACACACAGUAUCAUGCAAGGCAGAGAGUAUAAAUGGUGAACAAAACUGUCAGAGUCCUUGCCCAGGGGAGCUGGAAGGGAAUAGAGCUGGGUACAUGGCCUCUCAGAAUAAAAGCGACGUUUUCCAGCCCACCAGCUGGGAGCAGCCAAUGGGAUCUGACUGGGUCCCAUUCUCCUGACAAGAUGUGGACUUGGUGGUUGGAACUCCAGUGGCUCCCCCAGCCCAUGGCAUGACUGUGGGGAUCAAGUAUGAAAAGCAGGUUAAGAAAUCAAUGGAGAAGGAACCAGCAAAGAAGAAACCUAUUGACAAGAAAAUUUUAAAUAGAUUGAUGUCCUCUUCCGUCAAUUUCAUGGACACCUUGCUGACAGCAGGCUUCAGAGACUGCCUCCUCCUGUUUUUGACAGCUGUAAUCUUACUGUUCAUCUUAUCUCACUGAUGUCAUUCAUAGUGAAUUUGGG
ensembl:lncRNA